AGCAGCCGCGGUAAUUCCAGCUCCAAUAGCGUAUAUUAAAGUUGUUGCAGUUAAAAAGCUCGUAGUUGAAUUUCGGGAUUAAUUUAUUGGUCGUGCUAUUGUACGUACUGGUAUUAUUGAUUCCUACCUUCUGACGAACCACGAUGUCAUUAAUUUGGUGUCAUGGGGAAUCAGGACUGUUACUUUGAAAAAAUUAGAGUGUUUAAAGCAGGCUCACGCUUGAAUACAUUAGCAUGGAAUAACGAAAUAGGACGUUUGAUUCUAUUUUGUUGGUUUCUAGGAUCGACGUAAUGAUUAAUAGGGAUAGUUGGGGGCAUUAGUAUUCAAUUGUCAGAGGUGAAAUUCUUGGAUUUAUUGAAGACUAACUACUGCGAAAGCAUUUGCCAAGGAUGUUUUCAUUAAUCAAGAACGAAAGUUAGGGGAUCGAAGACGAUCAGAUACCGUCGUAGU
rnacentral:rRNA from 1 species